GAGCCCGUAGCUUAGCCUGGCUGGAGCGCACGACUGAUACUGAUUCAGUCCUGUAUAUUGCUUUAGCAAUAUCAACAGAUAUCGUGAGGUCCCGUGUUCAAAUCACGGCGGGCUCA
rnacentral:tRNA from 1 species